rnacentral:rRNA from 1 species
UACGUAGGGGGCAAGCGUUGCUCGGAAUUACUGGGCGUAAAGGGCGCGUAGGCGGACAGCUUAGUCAGAGGUGAAAGCCCAGGGCUCAACCUUGGAAAUGCCUUUGAUACUGGCUGUCUUGAGCUCGGGAGAGGUGAGUGGAAUGCCGAGUGUAGAGGUGAAAUUCGUAGAUAUUCGGCGGAACACCAGUGGCGAAGGCGACUCACUGGCCCGAUACUGACGCUGAGGCGCGAAAGCGUGGGGAGCAAACAGG